AUUGAACGCUGGCGGAAUGCUUUACACAUGCAAGUCGAACGGCAGCACGGACUUCGGUCUGGUGGCGAGUGGCGAACGGGUGAGUAAUGUAUCGGAACGUGCCCAGUCGUGGGGGAUAACGUAGUGUAAAUUACGCUAAUACCGCAUACGAUCUAUGGAUGAAAGCGGGGGAUCGCAAGACCUCGCGCGAUUGGAGCGGCCGAUAUCAGAUUAGGUAGUUGGGGGGGUAAAGGCCCACCAAGCCAACUAUCUGUAGCUGGUCUGAGAGGACGACCAGCCACAGUGGAACUGAAACCCGGUCCAGACUCCUACGGGAGGCAGCAGGGGGGAAUUUUGGACAAGGGGCGAAAGCCUGAUCCAGCCAUUCCGCGGGCAGGAUGAAGGCCCUCGGGUUGUAAACUGCUUUUGUACAGAACAAAAAGGUUUCUACUAAUACUAGGAGCUCAUGACGGUACUGUAAGAAUAAGCACCGGCUAACUACGUGCCAGCCGCCGCCGUAA
rnacentral:rRNA from 1 species